UUGAGGGCCACCAGCGACUUGACCCACUUGCUCGACCACGGCGGUGGAGACGGAGGGGAUCUGGCGAGCAUGUGUGUGCGUUGGGGGGGAGACUUGAUUCCGAGCGGCGAUGAGGCCGACUCCGUCGAGCGGCGGCGGCGCAGGGACGAGGAGCAGUGGAUUCGUGCAGGGGAGUUGCCCUAUCGCUCGCGAGGUGCAGUGGAUCGAUCGGAUAUGGGGGAGCGGACGCAGACGCGAAUGGCUCAAAGAUCGAUCGGAUAUGGGGGAGCGGACGCAGACGCGAAUGGCUCAAAGAAUUGA
rnacentral:misc_RNA from 1 species